UUGGAGGGCAAGUCUGGUGCCAGCAGUCGCGGUAAUUCCAGCUCCAAUAGCGUAUAUUAAAGUUGUUGCAGUUAAAAAGCUCGUAGUUGAAUUUCGGGGUUCAUACGUUGGUCGGGCUUUUUGGUCUGUACUAGCGUAAUGGAUUCCUACCUUCUGAAUAACCGGCAUGCCAUUAAUUUGGCGCGCCGGGGAAGCAGGACUGUUACCUUGAAAAAAUUAGAGUGCUUAAAGCAGGCUAUCGCCUGAAUACAUUAGCAUGGAAUAAUGAAAUAGGACGGCAUGGUUCUAUUUUGUUGGUUUCUAGGAUCACCGUAAUGAUUAAUAGGGAUAGUUGGGGGCAUUAGUAUUCAAUUGUCAGAGGUGAAAUUCUUGGAUUUAUUGAAGACUAACUACUGCGAAAGCAUUUGCCAAGGAUGUUUUCAUUAAUCAAGAACGAAAGUUAGGGGAUCGAAGACGAUCAGAUACCGUCGUAGUCUUAACCAUAAACUAUGCCGACUAGGGAUCGGAUGAUGUUAAUUUUUUAAUGACUCAUUCGGCGCCUUACGGGAAAC
rnacentral:rRNA from 1 species